AUUUACACCAACAAGCGCCAGGGAAUUAMGAGCGCAAGCUUAAAAUUCAAAGGAUUUGACGGUAUCCCACCCACCUAGAGGAGCCUGUUCUAUAAUCNAUAAUCCUCGAUACACCCAACCAUUUCUUGCUUUUUCAGCCUGUAUACCUCCGUCGCAAGCUUACCAUUUGAAUGUAAAAAAGUAAGUCUAAGGAUCCCCCAUCAACACKUCDGGUCAAGGUGCASCCAAUGUAAUGGAAAGUAAUGGGCUACAAUUUCUACAAUARAACAAACRAAACACUGCAUGAAAAACAGUCAUGAAGGCGGAUUUAGUAKUAAAAGGARAAUARAGAGNUNNUUNNAA
rnacentral:rRNA from 1 species